AUGAUAUCCUCCAAAACUGAGUCUCGUGUAACAUUUCCUCCCCCGUGAAGUACACGAUUUCUCGUCAGGUCAUAAUUUAGAAAUGACGUGAAAGACGAAAGCCAACAACUUAAAUUACUUUCAAUUUUGAAAAUAAAUAAUUUCAGGGCUUUUGGUUUAAAUGAUAGAUGCCGACAGCGUUAUCACUUAUACACAGAGUACAUACUACACUGUUGGGAAACGGACACCGGAUAUAGCUCAGAAAGUGAUAAAUCAAUGACACACGUAUUGUGUAAGAUAGCAAUACAGUAUGUUUUGUUGUAACGGAGAGACCUGAAAGUGAGCUUUGGAUAGACAAAGCAAAUAUGUAAUUGUACAGGAGCUAGCUAUUAUUACAGGGCAAUAAAAUGACACCACAGCUAGUCAUUGCCAUAGAAUUUGGAACCUAUGCCUGUGGAAUCGCCUUGCAGUGGAGAUCCGACUAUGAGAAUACCAACUGCGUGAAAAGUAUUAAGGUACCAACCAAAUGGUCAUCGACGGGAUUUUGCAUCAGGAAGACACCGUCGUGCAUUUUGCUGAAACCUGACAAAAGUGUAGCAGAAUUUGGUUACAAGGCAGACUUUCUAUUUAGCAAAAAUGAAUCGAUUCCUAUGUGUGUGUGUGUUCGGGUUUAACGUCUUUCUCAACAAUUUUUUCAGUCAUAUAAACGACGGGAUUCCUAUGAGUAGGCGUCCAAAAGACUGGGACGAUUGGUAUUUCUUCAAAUAUUUUAAGCUGCAACUCGACAGUAAGAAGGUUUGUUACUUAUACGUAUAUACAAAAUGUAUGUUCAAUAUACUAUUGUUUAUCAUUCUGUUUUUUUUUUACACAGACGCAAAAUGGCAUCGUUAUAAUGGACGAAAAACAAUUCGAUGGUCAGGUCAGGCACGUAUAAUUGUAGAAUAACUGUAGAAGUUCCACAAAAUAAUGUGAUUGUGUCUUUUCAUGAAAGAACGCGACAGAGCUGAUUGUUGCUCUUAUGGUGAGGUCUAAUAAGGAAUCAAAAACUUUUAUCGCUUGACAAAAGAUAUACAUUAGUGUAACAUACUAUGAAAACAAAUAAUGUUAAAUGCUUACUAUCUUUGCGAAAAAUUAAAAGAGAACCAUUUAAAUUGUUAAAGUGCUGUGUUUAGUUUUGCAAUUUGAAAAAUGUUAGAUGAAAAAUUCAUAAACUUCUUUCCUUAUUACAAUUCGCCGACCAUCAUUUUUAAAGAUAUUUCUUGUUUUUACAGUAAUUUCUUGAAUAUGGUAAGAAAAAGAUUCGAUCACUGACUUAGGUGCAGACGGGAAUAUCUGGCUCUUGGGGAAACUGUUUACGUGGUAACUCAGCGGAGCCUCGUUACCGCCUAAACAGUUACCCUCGAGCCAGAUAUUCCCAUUUGCACCUACAACUUGUGAAUCUUAUAAUCUUUCUGCUUUUCUCUGAGCCUAUGGGAUAAGCCUUGCAACUGUGUAAUCAUUCUUGAUAUCCAAAAUACAUAGAAAUGGCCAUCUCCUUCUAGUGCAUAUAAAUUAUAUACUGCCAAUUUCAGAAAAGCUCGCCGUUUGGGUGUUUACAUCAAACGCAGAUAGUAUAUGACGUAGCUGUCACUG
rnacentral:lncRNA from 1 species